rnacentral:rRNA from 1 species
CUGCCUACGGGGCGCAGCAGUGAGGAAUAUUGGUCAAUGGGCGCGAGCCUGAACCAGCCAAGUCGCGUGAGGGAAGACGGUCCUAUGGAUUGUAAACCUCUUUUGUCGGGGAGCAAAAGACGCCACGCGUGGCGUUCCGAGAGUACCCGAAGAAAAAGCAUCGGCUAACUCCGUGCCAGCAGCCGCGGUAAUACGGAGGAUGCGAGCGUUAUCCGGAUUUAUUGGGUUUAAAGGGUGCGUAGGCGGUUUUUUAAGUUAGUGGUUAAACGUCGGGGCUUCACCUUGAUUUGCCACUAAUACUGUAA